UACGUAGGGGGCUAGCGUUGUCCGGAAUCAUUGGGCGUAAAGAGCGUGUAGGCGGCCCGGUAAGUCCGCUGUGAAAGUCGGGGGCUCAACCGUUGAAAGCCGGUGGAUACUGUCGGGCUAGAGUUCGGAAGAGGCAAGUGGAAUUCCUGGUGUAGCGGUGGAAUGCGCAGAUAUCAGGAGGAACACCUAUAGCGAAGGCAGCUUGCUGGGACGAUACUGACGCUAAGGCUCGAAAGCGUGGGGAGCGAACAGG
rnacentral:rRNA from 1 species